rnacentral:rRNA from 1 species
GCCCCGGUAAACGGCGGCCGUAACUAUAACGGUCCUAAGGUAGCGAAAUUCCUUGUCGGGUAAGUUCCGACCUGCACGAAUGGCGUAAUGAUGGCCAGGCUGUCUCCACCCGAGACUCAGUGAAAUUGAACUCGCUGUGAAGAUGCAGUGUACCCGCGGCAAGACGGAAAGACCCCGUGAACCUUUACUAUAGCUUGACACUGAACAUUGAGCCUUGAUGUGUAGGAUAGGUGGGAGGCUUUGAAGUGUGGACGCCAGUCUGCAUGGAGCCGACCUUGAAAUACCACCCUUUAAUGUUUGAUGUUCUAACGUUGGCCCGUAAUCCGGGUUGCGGACAGUGUCUGGUGGGUAGUUUGACUGGGGCGGUCUCCUCCUAAAGAGUAACGGAGGAGCACGAAGGUUGGCUAAUCCUGGUCGGACAUCAGGAGGUUAGUGCAAUGGCAUAAGCCAGCUUGACUGCGAGCGUGACGGCGCGAGCAGGUGCGAAAGCAGGUCAUAGUGAUCCGGUGGUUCUGAAUGGAAGGGCCAUCGCUCAACGGAUAAAAGGUACUCCGGGGAUAACAGGCUGAUACCGCCCAAGAGUUCAUAUCGACGGCGGUGUUUGGCACCUCGAUGUCGGCUCAUCACAUCCUGGGGCUGAAGUAGGUCCCAAGGGUAUGGCUGUUCGCCAUUUAAAGUGGUACGCGAGCUGGGUUUAGAACGUCGUGAGACAGUUCGGUCCCUAUCUGCCGUGGGCGCUGGAGAACUGAGGGGGGCUGCUCCUAGUACGAGAGGACCGGAGUGGACGCAUCACUGGUGUUCGGGUUGUCAUGCCAAUGGCACUGCCCGGUAGCUAAAUGCGGAAGAGAUAAGUGCUGAAAGCAUCUAAGCACGAAACUUGCCCCGAGAUGAGUUCUCCCUGACUCCUUGAGGGUCCUGAAGGAACGUUGAAGACGACGACGUUGAUAGGCCGGGUGUGUAAGCGCAGCGAUGCGUUGAGCUA